rnacentral:tRNA from 1 species
UGGCCGGUCGUCCAAGGGUAGGACACGUGGUUUUGGUCCAUGGAAUGGGGGUUCGAAUCCUCCCCGGCCAGCCA